rnacentral:rRNA from 1 species
UACGGAGGGUGCAAGCGUUAUCCGGAUUCACUGGGUUUAAAGGGUGCGUAGGCGGGGUGGUAAGUCAGUGGUGAAAUCUUCAAGCUUAACUUGGAAACUGCCGUUGAUACUAUCAAUCUUGAAUGUUGUGGAGGUAAGCGGAAUAUGUCAUGUAGCGGUGAAAUGCGUAGAUAUCUGGAGGAAUACCGGUGGCGAAGGCGGCAUCCUGGACCGACAUUGACGCUGAACGGCGAAAGCUAGGGGAGCAAACGGG